GUGGAAUUGCUAGUUUCUUUGACACAAGCAAGAUGCAAUUGAACACCGUGUUCAAAUUUAUAGAGAAAACUCAAGGUGAUAGAUCAGUAGCGAAUUGGUUGACCCCUACACUAACAGUUCUCCUAUUCAAGCAUGAAAAACAAUUUAUGAACUUUAAGCAGGAUGCCAGUGACACUUAUAUGCACGCUGCUGUAAGAUAUGCGCUUAUUACAGGUGAUGUAAGUUUGCUUCAACUAAUGCCUAUUCAUGGAAACAGAUGCUUAGAUACAUAUCGAAAUGGUUAUCAGGACUCGCCAUACCAUAUCUUGACCAAUAAUAAGUAUACACAAGACUUCCAGCUAAUGAGGAAAGUCGUUUCCAUCUUAAGAGAGAAAGACUUAGCUGUCAGUUUUAGAGAUAAUAAACACCAUUUACCAAAAGAUUACGACUUGAAAGAACAGUUUGGGGGAUUACACGAUGAACUAAAGAGAACAUCGUCGAGUGGAGACAGUGGUUUAAAAACACGAGAUCAACUUCUUCAAAUAGUUGAAAAGGAAUUAUUAAACAAAGACUACACAACUGCCUUACAAGCGUGUUUUAGUGCCCUGUCGACAUUUAACCCACUCGAAAGGCAAAACAUUGACAUAGUUAACAAAGAACUGUCUAGUUUGUUCAGAAAUAUUACCGAAUGCCAUUUGAAUCUUGGAAAUAUCGCAGCUGCCCUGAUGACCGUAGGUGACAGUGUUAGAUAUAACCCAACA